CAGCAGCCGCGGUAAUACGUAGGGUGCGAGCGUUAAUCGGAAUUACUGGGCGUAAAGCGUGCGUAGGCGGCUUUUUAAGUCGGAUGUGAAAUCCCUGAGCUUAACUUAGGAAUUGCAUUCGAUACUGGGAAGCUAGAGUAUGGGAGAGGAUGGUAGAAUUCCAGGUGUAGCGGUGAAAUGCGUAGAGAUCUGGAGGAAUACCGAUGGCGAAGGCAGCCAUCUGGCCUAAUACUGACGCUGAGGUACGAAAGCAUGGGGAGCAAACAGGAUUAGAUACCCCAGUAGUCCCUGUCUCUUAUAC
rnacentral:rRNA from 1 species